GUUUGGUGGCUGUCCAUGCAUUUUUUAGAGAUUUGCCCAAAGUGCCCUUGGCCUUAUGUGUGCAUGUGAGGGCAAGGGUUGGGCAUUUUGGUCUUUUAAUUGCUGUCCAUGGUGUGUCCAAGAAGAUUUAUGCACUAAUGAGGAAGGUGGAGCCUUGAUUUGAAUUUUGAAUGAGCAUGGCACUAUGUAGGAAACAUGUGAUCUCCAAGAUUUAGCUCAUUGAAUAGGAAGGAGGUUGUUCAGGGGCACUUUCGGCCGCCUAAGUUAAGUUUCGGAGGCAGGACUUUCGGCUCUAGACACAAGGUUCGGCGGCCGAAGGAAGGUGACUUUCGUCUCUGGAGUGAAGGUUCGACCGGCGAAGGUGCCGCCGAAGAUGACUGGCAGUUUUGGUUCCCGAAAGUGCUUCCGAAGGAGGUUGAGUUUCGCCUCUGGACCGAAGGUUCGGCUGCCGAAAGAGCUGUCGAAGGUGGCUUUUCCAAUUUUGGAACUUUUUGGUAUUUUUAAGAGCAUUUUCUCCAAAUUGCUUCUUUACACCUAAUAUCUGUAAAACAUGAUUAAAACCACAAAAUUAGAUAGAAUAGGUGCAAAUAAACAUCAAUAAGAUCAUGAUAAUAUGGACUAAAAUAUGCUCUAUCAAAUACCCCCACACUUAGUCUUUUGCUUGUCCUCAAGCAAAUAAACAUAGUCAAAUAAGCUUUCUUUGCUCUAGAUCCUUAUUUCCACUUAAGCUCUUACUCAAGACACUUAUUUUGAAUCAUUGCAGUGAAGAAUAUAUGCAUGAAGAUUACUUACCCCCUUUCCUUGUUUCCCUUUGCUUACCAUGGCUAGGAUUUGUUUUCCUCAAGAGAGACAUGCACAUUAAUUUGUUAGGACUUUUUCUAGCUUUUGGAUUGACUUGCCCUUACCUUGAAGUACUUUAUUCAGGCUUUUGCACUUUAGAUUUUGCUUAGAAAGGUCACCAACCUAUUUUUGAUGUCAUGGUUUAUAUUUUUCAGUUGGUCACCUAUCCAAGUGGCUAGUAGCUCUUAUUUUUGUGCUUUUGAGGUCUAUGCCUUUGCUGAAUGUUCUUUCUCUCAAUGAUUUGGGCAAAUCAACACCAAUUGCUAAAUCAAGUCACAUUAAGUUUAUUCACACAACUUUAAUUUAUUCUCAAUCAAUUGAGGGUCAUCAAUAUAUUUUUCACCAAUGGCAAGCUCUAAGAUUCAAUUCAAAAGUCAAUUCUCAAACAUGUAUACAACCCACUGCAAUUGAUUCAACAUAAGUUUAAAGAGUUAUCACAUCAAUGGGGUCAUGGAAAGAAAAACUUAUUCAACAUAGUUCAUCAGUUUGAGUAGAGCAAAACAAAAGAAGAAGAAGGUUGUGGUUGUGUGUUUUAUUGAAAGCAUAAACAAAUUAAAAUUCAACUGUGGCUAAUUAACUGAAAGUAAUGCAAAACUGAAAGGAGAAAAGAAAAAAUUUUGCAAUAAAAUUGCAGAAGAUAAAGGAAAAAGAGGAAGAGAAGGGGAGAAGAAGAAGGGAGGAAGAAGAGGAGAGAGAUAUGCACCCCCACACUUAAAUCAUGCAUUGUCCUCAAUGUAAAAGAAAGAAAAAAGAACAAAGGAAUCUGAAUACUCCCCUGGGGUGUGGUGUGCAUGGCAUGAUUCGCUUUAGGCAGAGGGCUAUUGCAGUGGAAUUUCUUCCACUACUUGUACUGUGAAUCCUUCAAAGUAUGGCUUCAGACAAUGCCCAUUUACUUUGAAGAUUUUUCUAGUUUCUAUGCUUUUGAUGUCUACAGCUCCAUAUGGGUAGGCAUGUUCUACAAUGAAUGGUCCAAUCCACCUAGACCGUAGCUUCCCUGGAAACAACUUCAAACGAGAGUCAAAGAGUAAGACUUUAUCACCAGCCUCAAAUUGUUUUCUUGAAAGAUGAUUGUCAUGUGAGGCUUUGGUUUUUGUUUUGUAGUUCCAUGAAUUCUUAUAUGCAUCUCGUCUUAUUUCCUCUAGCUCCUGCAGUUGCAACUUGCGAUGGUGGCCAGCUUCUUUGAGGUCCAAGUUGCAAUUCUUCACAGCCCAAUAGGCUUUGUGCUCAAGUUCAACUGGAAGGUGACAAGCUUUCCCAUAGACCAAUCUGUAGGGAGACAUACCUAUGGGGGUCUUGUAGACUGUUCUGUAGGCCCAUAGAGCAUCUUCUAAUAUUGUACUCCAAUCCUUUCGGUUUGGGGAAACUGUCUUUUCAAGGAUGGCUUUGAUUUCUCUAUUGGAGACUUCAGCUUGCCCAUUUGUUUGAGGGUGGUAGGCUGUGGAUGUCCUAUGUAUGACAUUGUGUUUUCUGAGAAGGCUUUCCAUUACCCUAUUGCAAAAAUGAGUCCCUCUAUCACUGAUGAUUGCUUUUGGUACUCCAUGUCUGGCAAAGAUGUUGGUCUUCACAAAGUCUACUACUGCUUUGGCAUCAUCGGUCUUAGUUGCUCUAGCUUCCACCCAUUUGGACACAUAAUCCACUGCAAGGAUGAUAUAAGUGUAUCCAAAGGAUGGUGGGAAUGGGCCCAUGAAGUCUAUACCCCAAACAUCAAAUACUUCACAGACCAUGAUGGGGUUCUGUGGCAUUUGAUUUCUUCUGCUCAGAUUUCCAAUCUGUUGGCAUCUAGCACAUGAUCUGCAAAAUAAAAAAGCAUCUUGAAACAUUGUGGGCCAAAAUAGGCCACUUUCAAGUAUCUUAUGAGCAGUUUUCCUUGGACCAAAGUGUCCUCCACAACUAUAUGAAUGACAAAAAGUGAGUACAGAGGCUAUUUCUUGAUCAGGAAUGCAUUUUCUUAUCAUUUGGUCAGCAUAAUGUUUCCACAUAUAUGGCUCAUCCCAAACAUAGUAUUUGGCAUCUUUCUUUAUCUUAUCUUUAGUGUGCUUUGGCAUGUCAGAAGGUAAGUUACCUGUGGCCAGGUAGUUUACCAUAUCUGCGUACCAUGGCUCAUCAGACUGAGCAAGGAAGAUUUGUUCAAGGAGAUCAUACUUACUCUCUUCAGAAUCUGGAAGGUGCUGUUCUGGUCUUGACUGCAAAGGAGGUGGGAUGGAAGAGUUUGCUUGCGUUGGAUUCGGUUGUGAGAGGUUCGGCGGCCGAAAAGUGUCUGAGUUCGGCGGCCGAAUUUUUUCAGUUUGCGGAACGAGCUGUGGCGAUGGACUCGGCUUCCGCAAGUCAGUGGGGUUCGGCGGCCGAAGGUGGGCUAUGUUCGGCGGCCGAAUGUCUUCUGUCUGCGCAACCUCUAUCUGCUGAAUGCUGCAGAUGGUUUCUUUCAGUUUCAGGUUUUCAGUCCUGCAAAGAUCAUCCUCCAAAAUACAAUCUUGAUUUUCAUUAAACACAUAUUGGCUUAAACAAUCAACAAUAUCGAGACCAUAAACUGGGGACAUAUCAAGUGGAUAUUUCAUGGCAUCAUAGACAUUGUACUUAAUGACUUCCCCUUCAAAUUCCAUGGUAAGAGUACCAUCAUGCACAUCGAUUUUAGUUCUAGCAGUACUAAAGAAAGGACGUCCAAGAAGAAUGUCAGAACUAGUAUUACAACUAUCAUCCUUAGUAUCAAUCAUAUAAAAAUCAGCAGGAAAGACAAGCUCAUCUACUUGGACUAACACAUCUUCUAGAACACCUAUGGGGUAUACCACAGAUCUAUCAGCUAGUUGUAUCACAACUCUUGUUUCUUUAAGUGCACAUGCAUUGAGAGAUUUAUAGAUGGAGAGAGGCAUGACAUUAAUGGAUGCAUCAAGAUCACACAUGGCUUUCUUUAUACCAACAUUCCCAAUUUUGCAAGAGAUAGCAAACAUACCUUUGUCCUUACAUUUGGUGGGGAGUUCUCUUUUGAUAACAGCAAUAACUACCUCACCUACAUUUACUUUUUCUCUUUCAGCAAGCUUUCUUCUAUUGGUGCAAAGCUCUUUUAGAAAUUUUGCGUACCUUGGGAUUUGCUUGACAGCAUCUAGCAGUGGUAUGUUAAUUUCCACUUUUCUGAAAGUCUCAAGGAUGUCCUUUUCUUCUUUUUCUUUUUGCGUUCUUUCAAAUUUUUUUGGAAAAGGAGGCAGAAUGUGAAAGCUUACUUUUGGAUCAGUUUUGUGCGCAAGAGGUGGUUUAGAUGGUGAUGGUGAGGUUUCAGGUUGCCUUGGUUCUUGUGCAGAGGGCGUCUCAGAUGGCGCAGGCUUUGGUGCAACUUGCUUUUCUUCCUCAUAUCUUGCAUCUUGAAGUUCUUUUCCACUUCUCAAAGUGAUGGCACUCACAUUCUGUCUAGGGUUAGUUUCAGUUUGAGAAGGGAGUUUACCUUGGGUUUGCAGUUGGCUUAUAGAGGUGGCCAUUUGUCCUAGGUCUUGUCGCACGCCUUGCAUGGUGCUUAUCAGUGUCUCCAUCAUCUUUUCAAGGCUCGGAUUGGAGCUUGAAGGUGCUGGUUGGGCUUGAUUUCUUUGGUAGUUUUGGGAGUUAUGAUCAUUGUUGGCCUUUUCAUAGCUAAAAUUGGGGUGGUCUCUCCAACCUGGAUUGUAUGUAUUGGAAUAUGGAUCAUAUAUAGGCUGGUUGUUGUACCUCCCAAUUGCAUUGACUUGAUGAUUGUCUUCUUGGAGGGUAGGACAUUGAUCAGUGGGGUGUCCCACAUAUGAACAGAUACCAUAUGGCCUAGGAGGCUGGGGUGCUUGAAUCUGUUGCACAACAUCUACGACAAUAUUUUUCAUAACAGAUGUUAGUUCAGAAAUAGUGGGAAAACUCACCUCAUUGGCCCUUUGUAGUUGCCUCUCUUCUCCAUACUGCCUAGAUGAGGCUGCAAGAGUAGAUAUCAACUCUUUCAUCUCCCUUGGUGACUUGUCUAGGAUAGAUCCUCCACAGGCUACAUUUAUGAGUUUCCUUUCUGAUGGAAUCAAUCCUCCAUAGAAGAACUGUAUGAGGGCCUUGUCUGACAUAUCAUGUUGUGGACAACCUGUACAUAGUCUUUCAAACCAUUCCCAAUAAUCAUAUAAGUCUUCAGUUGGUUUUUGCCUUAUGCUAGUGAUUUCUCUUAUUAUGCCAAUUGAUUUAGAUGGUGGGAAGUAUUUGUCCAAGAAGGCUUGGACCAUAUCAUCCCAAGAAGUUAUAGAUCUAGGUGGCAAAUAAAAUAACCAAUCCUUAGCAUGGUCGUCUAAUGAAAAGGGAAAAGCUCUCAGUUUAACAUGAUCUUCAGAGAUCCCUUGAGGUCUCAUGGAUGAACAAAUAAUUUUAAAUUCUUUUAAGUGCUUAUGUGGAUUUUCAUUCUCUCUACCUCUAAACUUAGGAAGAAUAUGUAUCAAACCUAUCUUGAGUUCAAAGGGAACUGUAAGAGGUGGAUAGGUGAUGCAAAGUGGAGCAUAAUCACCUAUAGGAGUUGCUAACUCCCUCAUGGUUCUUUCUCUUUGUGCUUAUGGCCUAUUUGUUGGAUUUUCUUGAACUAUUUGGCCCUGGACAACUUGUCCAUUGGGGGCAGCAGCAUGUGCUUGAGGUUCUGCCAUUGGUGCAAAAUUUUGUUGCUGGAGUGCAGGACUUUCGGCGGCCGAAGGUUGAUGAGUUUCGGAGGCCGAAGGUUGGGCAGAAGGUUCUGCGUUUGAGGCUUGCUUUCCUAGCCUUCUGAUGGUGCGUUCAAUUUCUGGAUCAAAGGGCAGUGUGUCCCUACUUUCAGAUCUGGUCAUGAAAGAAAAAUAAACAAACAAGUAAGAUCAAUUCCCCGGCAACGACGCCAAUUUUUGACAGUGCGGUUGUCGAAGCCGGUAAAAAAUAACCUUCUUGGUUAUCAACAAUUUACAACUGCAGAUAGUGGUGAAGGAUCGAAUCCAUAAAGAAUUGAUUACCUAUUUAUUUUUCUCAAUCAAGACCAAGAGAACCAAUUGAAAACACAAUUGAAAGCUGAAUGAAAGUAAAGUGCAAUAAAAGUAAAAAGGGGAGUUUUGAUAUUGAAUUGUCUAACAACUAUUAAAAAUAAUUAAAACAGCAAGUAAUUAAAAUAAAAGAGGAAAUCAAUAUGAGAAAAGUCUAGUUGAAGAUAUGGAUCCACUUUGGUUGUUUGGGUUGAUCAUUGCAACAUGGUUAUCUUGAUUGAUUCAAUAGGUUGGUUAUGGGGGUGGAAGACGCUUCUCACCACCAUGUCUUUCCUUAUGAUCAAACUGAUUAUGGAACGUUCUCUAACCAAUUACUAAUCAACAAAUUGCCAAGGAACGUCCUUGGGCCAAAGACAUCAAAACAAUUGCCAAUUGCAUGAAGAACUAGAAAGAUCCAAACCCUAGCUACUCAAACGCAUGAGAUGUUGCUAGAUCAUACAAUUUCUUGGGUUUUUACACCAAGUGUUAUAAGAUCAGAAUAUUUCCAGCAAUUACGGACUAAUAAAAAACAAUCAAUUAACUUUGCAAUCAAGAAUCAAGUGGCCAAUUUGAUCAAAAUAACAAAUCAAUCUUAGAAUCAAAGCACAAUUGCAUGAAUAUUGAAUAAACCAAAAACAAACACUUUAUGUUCAGAUCUCACAACCCUUUAAACAACCUUAGUUUCAACCAAACUUCAACUAGAGAGAGGGUUUCAGCCACUCAUGGAUGAACCAAAAUAGAAAAUAAAAGAAAAGAAAGCAAGAAGAUGAAGAACUAAGGUCGAGGAGGCCUAGGAGAAGCCUUGCCGAAUUCUUGAUCAAUCCUUGAUGGGAGAUGAUGAGUUCUUGAUCUUCUUGAAGCCUUUAAAUAGAUCUUGAGAGGCUCCUUAGGGUUUGGUGGCUGUCCAUGCAUUUUUUAGAGAUUUGCCCAAAGUGCCCUUGGCCUUAUGUGUGCAUGUGAGGGCAAGGGUUGGGCAUUUUGGUCUUUUAAUUGCUGUCCAUGGUGUGUCCAAGAAGAUUUAUGCACUAAUGAGGAAGGUGGAGCCUUGAUUUGAAUUUUGAAUGAGCAUGGCACUAUGUAGGAAACAUGUGAUCUCCAAGAUUUGGCUCAUUGAAUAGGAAGGAGGCUAUUCAGGGGCACUUUCGGACGCCUAAGUUAAGUUUCGGAGGCAGGACUUUCGGCUCUGGACGCAAGGUUCGGCGGCCGAAGGAAGGUGACUUUCGUCUUUGGAGUAAAGGUUCGGCCGCCGAAGGUGCCGUCGAAGAUGACUGGCAGUUUUGGCUCCCGAAAGUGCUUCCGAAGGAGGUUGAGUUUUGCCUCUGGACCGAUGGUUCGGCCGCCGAAAGAGCUGCCGAAGGUGGCUUUUCCAAUUUUGGCACUUUUUGGUAUUUUUAAGAGCAUUUUCUCCAAAUUGCUUCUUUACACCUAAUAUCUGUAAAACAUUAUUAAAACCAUAAAAUUAGGUAGAAUAGGUGCAAAUAAACAUCAAUAAGAUCAUGAUAAUAUGGACUAAAAUAUGCUCUAUCAUCAAUAAUGAGAAAGCUCUAGUUGAAGUAUUGGAUCCACUUUAGUUGUUGGGAUUGAUCAUAUACACUUUGUUCUUUUGGGUUGAUUCAAUAGAUUAGUUAUGGCGAUGGAAGACGCUUCUCACCACCAUUAUCUCUCCUUAUGAUUUAACCAAUCAGGGAACGUCCUCUAAUUAAUUACUAAUUAACAAAUUGCCAAGGAACGUCCUUGGGCCUUAGGCAUCAAAACAAUUGUCAAUUGCAUUAAGAAAUAGAGAGAUCCAAUCCUAGCUAUCCAAACGUAUGGAGAUAACGCUAGAUCAUGCAACUUCCUUGGUUUUUAUUCCAAG
rnacentral:lncRNA from 1 species